UACGAAGGGGGCUAGCGUUGCUCGGAAUCACUGGGCGUAAAGCGCACGUAGGCGGAUUGCUAAGUCAGGGGUGAAAUCCUGGAGCUCAACUCCAGAACUGCCUUUGAUACUGGCGACCUUGAGUCCGGGAGAGGUGAGUGGAACUGCGAGUGUAGAGGUGAAAUUCGUAGAUAUUCGCAAGAACACCAGUGGCGAAGGCGGCUCACUGGCCCGGUACUGACGCUGAGGUACGAAAGCGUGGGGAGCGAACAGG
rnacentral:rRNA from 1 species